GUCCGUAUAGCCCAACUGGCAGAGGCGCCGGUAUCAGAAGCCGGAGGUUGCGAGUUCAAAUCUCGCUACGGACACCA
rnacentral:tRNA from 1 species